rnacentral:misc_RNA from 1 species
UGUGGGAGCGAGCCUGCUCGCGAUGACGGUGGCGCAUUCAAAAUCAAUGCAAGCUGACCCACCGCUAUCGCGAGCAGGCUCGCUCCCACA